rnacentral:rRNA from 1 species
CAAAAUGAAUUUUAGUUUAACUUCCCGAAACUAGGUGAGCUACUUCGAAAUAGCCACAAGAGCAAACCCGUCUCUGUUGCAAAAGAGUGGGAAGAUUUCCAAGUAGAGGCGAUAAACCUACCGCACCUAGAAAUAGCUGGUUACUUAAGAAAAGAAUUUUAGUUCUACCUUAAGUUUUUUAGUUUUCAUAAACUCCCACUAAACUUAAGAGCUAUUCAAAUAAGGCACAGCUUAUUUGAAAAAGGACACAACCUAUUAUAUUGGGUAACCAACUAAAGAAAACUGUUAAGUGGGCCUGAAAGCAGCCAUCUUUAAAAAAGCGUUAAAGCUUUACUUUUAUUCUUUAAUAAUAACCUUAUUAUUAUAUAACCCAUUAUCAAUAUUAAGUAAUUCCAUAAUAAUAUGGAAGAUAUAAUGCUAGAACUAGUAACAAGAAGCAGAACUUCUCCAAAAUGUAAGCUUAAGCCAUUUUAGACACCCUACUGGCAAUUAACGUUUAUGAGUCUACUUUAUUAACACCCCAAGAAAACCUUAAAUACACUAACGUUAAACUUACACCAGAACAUUUAUGGAAG